UCACAUGUAGAUUAGGAUUGAUUUUUGGCUUUAUUACAUUAAGUCAACAAAGAAAAGUACCAGAAACAGUUAGAUUAGUGCUUCAUAUAAAUUGCAUUUACAAUUUGCUACCAUGCUUUGCAUGUUGCACGGUGUUAGGGAGUCGCAUAUCCUUAGGAUUUAAUUGCAUGUAGGUUGCAUUUAACUAAUUAUAGUGAAAUGAGGAAUAUCGAUGCCUCUACAAUGUUGUCAUUUUUAUACAAUAUCUCCAAGCAAGAAUAAACCAAAAUAUCACCAUAGAAGAUCUUAACUGAAAUUGUUGCCGAUCUCUCCUACCAAUAUGGUGGAACCAGUUGACACUAUAAGAUAGUGGAGAAAUUCUUGUCAUUUAUAACUUGGUGCGUGAUGACUCUUGCACUAUAAAAUGAAAUUAAUCAGGCUACAGAUUCAUUG
rnacentral:lncRNA from 1 species